AUGAACGCUAGCUACAGGCUUAACACAUGCAAGUCGAGGGGCAGCAUGGUCUUAGCUUGCUAAGGCCGAUGGCGACCGGCGCACGGGUGAGUAACACGUAUCCAACCUGCCGUCUACUCUUGGACAGCCUUCUGAAAGGAAGAUUAAUACAAGAUGGCAUCAUGAGUCCGCAUGUUCACAUGAUUAAAGGUAUUCCGGUAGACGAUGGGGAUGCGUUCCAUUAGAUAGUAGGCGGGGUAACGGCCCACCUAGUCUUCGAUGGAUAGGGGUUCUGAGAGGAAGGUCCCCCACAUUGGAACUGAGACACGGUCCAAACUCCUACGGGAGGCAGCAGUGAGGAAUAUUGGUCAAUGGGCGCAGGCCUGAACCAGCCAAGUAGCGUGAAGGAUGACUGCCCUAUGGGUUGUAAACUUCUUUUAUAAAGGAAUAAAGUCGGGUAUGUAUACCUGUUUGCAUGUACUUUAUGAAUAAGGAUCGGCUAACUCCGUGCCAGCAGCCGCGGUAAUACGGAGGAUCCGAGCGUUAUCCGGAUUUAUUGGGUUUAAAGGGAGCGUAGAUGGAUGUUUAAGUCAGUUGUGAAAGUUUGCGGCUCAACCGUAAAAUUGCAGUUGAUACUGGAUAUCUUGAGUGCAGUUGAGGCAGGCGGAAUUCGUGGUGUAGCGGUGAAAUGCUUAGAUAUCACGAAGAACUCCGAUUGCGAAGGCAGCCUGCUAAGCUGCAACUGACAUUGAGGCUCGAAAGUGUGGGUAUCAAACAGGAUUAGAUACCCUGGUAGUCCACACGGUAAACGAUGAAUACUCGCUGUUUGCGAUAUACAGCAAGCGGCCAAGCGAAAGCGUUAAGUAUUCCACCUGGGGAGUACGCCGGCAACGGUGAAACUCAAAGGAAUUGACGGGGGCCCGCACAAGCGGUGGAGCAUGUGGUUUAAUUCGAUGAUACGCGAGGAACCUUACCCGGGCUUAAAUUGCAGAUGAAUUACGGUGAAAGCCGUAAGCCGCAAGGCAUCUGUGAAGGUGCUGCAUGGUUGUCGUCAGCUCGUGCCGUGAGGUGUCGGCUUAAGUGCCAUAACGAGCGCAACCCUUGUUGUCAGUUACUAACAGGUUCCGCUGAGGACUCUGACAAGACUGCCAUCGUAAGAUGUGAGGAAGGUGGGGAUGACGUCAAAUCAGCACGGCCCUUACGUCCGGGGCUACACACGUGUUACAAUGGGGGGUACAGAGGGCCGCUACCACGCGAGUGGAUGCCAAUCCCCAAAACCUCUCUCAGUUCGGACUGGAGUCUGCAACCCGACUCCACGAAGCUGGAUUCGCUAGUAAUCGCGCAUCAGCCACGGCGCGGUGAAUACGUUCCCGGGCCUUGUACACACCGCCCGUCAAGCCAUGGGAGCCGGGGGUGCCUGAAGUGCGUAACCGCGAGGAGCGCCCUAGGGUAAAACUGGUGACUGGGGCU
rnacentral:rRNA from 1 species